AAAUUGAACCUAACUACUGGCCAAACAAUUAAGCAAUUAAACUCAUAAUUGAAGAAACAACCAUAUAUUGGUGAAUUAUAAUCAAGGUAAAGCUACUAUCAAACAACAAUAUUCAUGGAUAAAUCACAACUCCAAAACGAUGGGUGUUUAGCCACUCAUGAUAGAAUAGAACAAUUGCAUAAUUGUUGAAUCAAUUGAAUAUACUAGAAAAAGAUGAAGAAAACUGAGAAUAUUCUGCAUCCUCACGAUCUCGUGUGUGUUUUUCCUCUAAAAUUGCGUAUCUCCAUAAAAAUAUGUCUAGUUUUGCUUUUAUACAUGUUGGGUAGGUCUAGGGCCGAAAUAACAUUGUCCCGGGAGAAAUUGGAGAAAAUUCACUUCAUUGGCGCUCUGGCUAGCACCAAGCGCCCUCCACGGUGCUCCAAUAUUUUUAAGUACUAAUUUUUGUGCCACAGGUAGUUGUGGGUGUCACCUGUCGCGCCAAAAUUCGCAAGUUUUCUUGCGCGUGUCAUCCUGAAUUGCUCCCGAAUUAUUCCUACGCAUAAAAAUAUAUUAAAUUAACAUAAAUCAACAAAUUUCACAUCCUAAAUCCGUGAAACAAAUGUAAAAUAUGAGGCGAUAUACAUACAAAUAUAUAUGUUUUGUGCUAAAUAUCAACACCCUACACUUAGACUCUUACUUUUCCUUGAGCAAUGGGACAAUCUAAUGUACCCCCAACUACAUAUAAGUCUCAAUUAUAGAUGAGCACUCUGAUUCUUAACCACAAACUUUACCCUUGACUACGA
rnacentral:lncRNA from 1 species